GCGCCAUUUAAAGUUAAGUUGGCAUUGGUUGUAUUAUGUAAACAUCUUGAGCACAUUAUCACAUCCAUAAUGACGAUGAGCUUAUUCAAUACACAAAUAUAAGGAUAAUUCCAUGUGUUAAAAAACAGAUUACCCACAGUUCGUGCUUUUAAAAACUCAAGUUAUACUCUACUCGCAUAUUGUAUAUCAAAGCGAUGUAGACUUAUCUGUUUUCUGGCCUAUUUCUAUUUCUAUAUUCAAGAAAUUUGCAAUGGAUAUCACAUUUUUUGGUUCACACGAGACUUCUUUGUCGCCACUGUUCUUUAUGCAGAAUUUCUUUGACAUCUUUAUACAAUGAAUAUGCAUAAUAUCUCGGAAUCUCUUGGCAAAUAAACAAUAUAUGACAAAGUUAAAUGCUGACUGGAUGAUAUACAACAACCGAAUUAUGACGGACGUUCGGGUAAUUGUUGUGAAAUCUUCUAAAUAUACCUCCCUCGUAAUAAAAGAUAUAAUUAUCACAAACACGUUAUGUGGUAACUGGAAAAAUAUCAAAACAACAAUAAGCAAAGAAACAUUCACUUCGUUUCGCUCUACUUUUUUCGUAUGCUUUGACAUUCUUAGAGACUUUCGGUAUGACCUUAUUUUCCACAGCAACAAAAAAUUCAAAAUCAACAUGAAAACACAUAUAAUUAAACUUGAAAUAACAUAAAAUCUCUCGUAGGUUGAGCGAUAAGAAAGAAUUAAACCAUUCCCAGACUCGAAUAAUUCACUUGGAUUCUCGUACAAUAGAUAUAUUUCUUUAAUUAACUGUGGCCCGUGAACCAAUAUACUCAUACACACGGCUAAUAUGAUUACUAUUCGAGUACGCCUUAUUGUCAAGCAAUUUCCAACUUUCAUUGGAAAUAUCACUGCAAUACAUCUCUCAGAUGUCAAACAGAAUGCAAAUAAAAGCCCGAUGUAAAUUAUAUUAUAACCAAUAAAACGCUCUAUGCUUCGAAUAAUGAAUUGUUUACGAUCGUCAUUUGUAAUUGAAGGAAAUUGAUUCUUUAUGGUGGACGAUAGUAUAUUCUUAGAAGUUGUUAUCAUAGAAUCAUUAUUUGUCAACUCAUUUCUCGAAUUUGUUUUGAUGGAGUGUAGGAUCAGUGAUUGAUUCAUCUGUGACUCAUAAUAUUGCAAAAACUGUUGUAAAGACGUAAAAUUAAGUCCUUCCAAAGAUGACAAAACGUCAUCUUGAGUUUUCCUCCUAAUUUGUAAGUUCUGUACAAAAUUAUUGGCUUUAUUGUAACUUUUUAUAGCUGGAUAGACAUCCGAAUAAAUUGCAUACAACAUAUUUAAAAUAUCAUGUAUUGCCAAAGCCUGAAGAAGACAAACAGGGGAACUACGCAAUGAUUUCCCACAUAGUACAAUUAAAAUAACAAUAUUCCCGAUCAAUCCGAGUCCUAUAAAGACGGGCAUUACAACUCCAGACGUAAUGUAC
rnacentral:lncRNA from 1 species